rnacentral:rRNA from 1 species
GAUGAACGCUGGCGGCGUGCCUAAUACAUGCAAGUCGAGCGGACGGACGGGGAUCUUUCCUCUCUUCUGUUACCGGCGGGCGGGUGAUGCACACGUGGAUAACCUACCUUUAAGACUGGGGUAACUUCGGGGAACCUGAUCUAACAUCCGUUAUUAUUUUGAACCUCAUGGUUCAUAAGUCAAAAACCUUCCUGCUGUCCCUUAUACAUGUUUCCGCGCUGCAUUAGCUAGUUGGUAAGGUAACGGCUUACCAAGGCAACGAUGCAUAGCCGACCUGAGAGGGUGAUCGGCCACACUGGAACUGAGACACGGUCCAGACUCCUACGGGAGGCAGCAGUAGGGAAUCUUCCGCAAUGGGCGAAAGCCUGACGGAGCAACGCCGCGUGAGUGAUGAAGGUCUUCGGAUCGUAAAACUCUGUUAUUAGGGAAGAACAUAUGUGUAAGUAACUGUGCACAUCUUGACGGUACCUAAUCAGAAAGCCACGGCUAACUACGUG